GACGAACGCUGGCGGCGUGCUUAACACAUGCAAGUCGAGCGGUAAGGCCCUUUCGGGGGUACACGAGCGGCGAACGGGUGAGUAACACGUGGGUGACCUGCCCUUAGCUCUGGGAUAAGCCUGGGAAACUGGGUCUAAUACCGGAUAUGACUCCAUGACGCAUGUUGUGGGGUGGAAAGCCUUGUGCGGCUAGGGAUGGGCCCGCGGCCUAUCAGCUUGUUGGUGGGGUGAUGGCCACCAAGGCGACGACGGGUAGCCGGCCUGAGAGGGCGACCGGCCACACUGGGACUGAGACACGGCCCAGACUCCUACGGGAGGCAGCAGUGGGGAAUCUUGCGCAAUGGGCGAAAGCCUGACGCAGCGACGCCGCGUGAGGGAUGAC
rnacentral:rRNA from 1 species